GGCAAGCCACUCGGGUCCUCUUCCACAGUGGAAGCUUUGUUAUUUCGCUCUUCGCAAUAAAUCUUGCUGUGGCUCACUCUUCGGGUCUGUGCAGCCUUUAUGGGCUGUAACACUCACCGCAAGGUCUGCAGUUUCACUCCUGAAGCCAGCCAGACCAUGAACACCAGGUGUUCUCCCUUCCUUCUUGCCUGUUAAACUCUCCGCUCCUUAAAACCACUCCACCUGUGUCCAUGUCGUUUUAUCGAAAUUGGCAUGAGGACCAAGAACCCUGGUGUUCCUCCACUCAUUAGAGCCGUAUCACUUUGGUGCACUGGCCAGGAAUGGAAAUUCAAUCAUCAGACUGACCUUUCACAAAUCAACUUCACAUGAAUGAUCUCAUCUAAGCCUGACAGAAAUUUUCCAAGAAACUUGAGGUUCAAAAUAGUGGAGGCUCCCACCUCCACUGUCCCACCCACUUUGUUGCACAGAUGAAUAUACCUUACGUACCUGCUCAGGCUGAAUGUAUUUAUUAGUGUGGAGGCAAUGAAGGGAAGCAGAGGCAUUCCUGCUGAAAACAAAGAUGAUCUUUCAAGGCAAGUCCCUCAGUUGUCUGUGCAAGAACCCAGGGAACUGGAGGCAUCUCUUCUGUUACAAGUGAGAGGAAAUGGCUUCUUCUAGGCCAAAGGGCUCAGGAGAAUCUGGAAGUCUAAGGUUCUAAGCUUAUCCAAUCAAAUGUCCCCACUGCAGUCUCAUUCUUUUUCUAUCCACGCCUUGGCUUUGACAUAAGAGAACUUUAAAGGUUAUACAAUUAGUUUCCUCUGCAGCUUUGCUACCUUUGUAAUUAAUUAGAACUUGGGCCUCUGCCUUGUAGCUGCAAGAGAUGAGGGUCUUUUGUUGUUGUUGUUGUUGUUUUUGAGACGGAAUCUCUCUGUCGCCAGGCUAGAGUGUGCAGUGGCGCGAUCUCAGCUCACUGCAACCUCUGACUCCUGGGUUCAAGUGAUUCUCCUGCCUCAGCCUCCCGAGUAGCUAGGACUACAGGCGCGCACAACCACGCCCAGCUAAUUUUUGUAUUUUUGUAGAGACGGGGUUUCACCAAGUUGGCCAGGGUGGUCUUGAUCUCUUGACCUUGUGAUCUGCUCGCCUCGGCCUCCCA